AGAUGUGAGGGUGAACUGGCUGAGCCAUCUGUCUCCCCAUUGAUCGCCAGGGUUGAUUCGGCUGAUCUGGCUGGCUAGGCGGGUAUCCCCUUCCUCCCUCACCGCUCCAUGUGUGUCCCUCCUGAAGCUGCGCACUUGGUAGAAGAGGACGGCCUUCCCCGAAUAAAGACGGACUGGUCUUCAGUUGAGGGUAUAUGAGGAGCUGUGCUCCCUUGCUAGAACCUCCAAAUAAGUUAAGGGAAAAAUAUACACCUGAAAGCAGAAGUACACAAGAGCAUGCAGGGAAUACCCCCAACACUUCAUCUGCACUAUUACAGUUUUUAG
rnacentral:snRNA from 1 species